GGAGAGAUGGCUCAGUGGUUAAGAGCACUGACUGCUCUUCCAGAGGUCCUGAGUUCAAUUCCCAGCACAACCA
rnacentral:tRNA from 1 species